rnacentral:lncRNA from 1 species
AACGGAAUCGAGUGUACGGUUAGGGGAAGUUGCGAGGAGUGGGAGGCUGAUAUGCGUGUGUUAGUUGGUUCAAUCGAACCAACUAAUCGGGAGCUCGCUGCCGCUGCUACGGUCGGUCCCCUGGUUUAUACUAGGCACUCGCUCGAAGCGCCUGGUGCCUGGGCUCGGGCGAGCGCUUAGGCAAGUGCCCGAGCGCCUUUUUAAAUCAUUGGUCUAAACUAGCUCCUAUCGUAUAAUAAGUUGGAGGCUUCAACUUUGGACCAUGUGAGAAAAGUAUUGAAAUGAUCUAAAACCAAUUAUAACAUUAACACUCGGUGCUUGUGUCCUACCCUAAGCCGCAAGGCUCAAGCGCCUUUAAUUCAUCCUAGGCGAGAGAUUUUGCACAAGUGUCACUUUGACAUGCACCUAGGCGCAUACAUGGCAUGUGCUUGAAACCAUAUCACCUCUGCCCUGGAGCCCGCACAACACCUCUAUUAGCAACCCUAGUCAUCUUGCAAUUGUUAUCCUUUGGUGAUCAACAACACAUGACAAUGUUGACAACAAUGGAUAACCAAAACGAUGAUCAACAACCAACAUGGCUGUGCCUCCCCUCUCGCAAUUGACAACAUGCAACAGUACCUCCCUCCUUCCAUCGUAGGUACCUCUCACUCUCUUAGCUCUCUCCCUCAACCCUUCUUCGAUCACUUUCUCUCAAUUGGGUGAUACAACCCCGCAUUCGUCUACCUACUAGUCAUGAUAGUACAAUAUCACCUCUCAGUGAUUUAAAAAGCGCUAGGCGCCAAGAUCCAAAAAUGCCCGAGGCGCUAAGCGCUUGCUCAAGCGAAGCGAGAUGCUAAAAUAUAAAAAUAUAUAAUAUAAUUAAUAAAUAUAAUUAUUUAAAUAAAAAUAUGAUAUUAAAUUUAAAAAAUCUUACAAUAUCACAUUAACAAAAAAAACUCAAAAUUUAAAACAAUAACAAUAAUUUCAAAUAAAUAAAAAUUAACAGUAUUAAAAUCAAAAUAAUAUAUUAUUAAUCUAAUAAAUAAAAAAAAUAUUGUUACUAGUAUACAAUUAACAGUAUACUGUUAAUAUACUGUUAACAAUAUACUAUUGAGUCGAUGUAAGAAGAGGUAGCAGCGAAUAGCGGGAGCAGGAGAGGCGAGCGACGACAAUGGCAGCGGUAGCAGCGGGAGCGGCGCGCAACGAUAGUGGCAGCGACAGCGGUAGCAACGAGCAACGGGAGCGACGAGCGGUGAUAGUGGCAACGACAGCAAUAGCGACGAGCAGCGACAGCAACAGGAGCGGGAGCGGCGAGCGACGAUAGUGGCAACGGUAGCAGCUGCAGCAAUAGUAGUAGCAGCGAGCAGCGGGAGCGGGAGCGACGACAGUGGCAACAGCAGCGACGAGCAAGGUUAGGGUUGGGUUAGUCACGAGAGGGAUGUUGGGAGGCUGAUAUCGGUGCUUCAGUUGGUUCAAUCGAACCAACUGAAGCAUCGAAGACCAAACCAAAUGUAAAACACUAGUUCGAUCGCCUGGUUUAACCCGGGCACUCGCCCGAAGCGCCCGACGCCUGGGCUCGGGCGAGCGCCUAGCGAUGCAUCUUUGAAGCGAGGCGCCUAGACAUAAAGCGCGGCGCUCGGGCCUCGCCUCUCCCGAGCGCCCGAACGCCUAUUAAAAUCGCUGCCACUUCUCUUAUCUCUUUUGAUAGUAAGCCCCCUUCUCUUUUUUCCUCCUCCCCUCUUCUAUGUUUCUUCUGAUGGCAAACCCCUCCUACCGACGUCACCACGUACAUGUCUCAAACACCAACACCAUACCCUCUAAUUCGUCUUCUAGGACCUUGUCUCUUAGGCCCUAGCCCAACACCCCCUAAUCCCUCUUGUUUGUCUUAAUCUUUCCAUCGCACAACAUGCAACAGUACCUCCCUCCUUCCUCCGUAGGUACCUCUCACUCUCUUAGCUCUCUCUCCCUCAACCCUUCCUCGAUCACUUUCUCUCAAUUGGGUGAUACAACCCCACAUUCGUCUACCUACUAGUCAUGAUAGUGCAGUACCACCUCUUCUCUAUCUCUUUUGAUAGUAAGCCCCCUUCUCUUUCUUCCUCCUCCCCUCUUCUAUGUUUCUUCUGAUGGUACAACCCCUCCUACCAACGUCACCACGUACCUGUCUCAAACACCAACACCAUACCCUCUAAUUCGUCUUCUAGGACCUUGUCUCUUAGGCCCAAACCCAACACCCCCUAAUCCCUCUUUUUUGUCACAACCUUUCCAUCGCCACCCCCUCCCCCUUUUUCCUUCUUCCCCUCCCUCUCUUCAUCUUUAGCACCUCCCUCUUCUACACCUCAAGGACCCCUUCUCUCUUUUCUCAUGCAGCCCCCUACCCAAAUAUUGUUGUUAGCAAUCUAUUUAGAGGCGAGAGGCACUAAAGGCACCAAGGUGUCAAAACACCCGAGGCACUUGGAGCUCACCCAAGCAAAGUGAAGAACCCCCCGAAUACUAAAAUUAAUAUAUAUAUAUAUAUAUAUAUAUAUAUAUAUAUAUAUAUAUAUAUAUAUAUAAUGAUUAAUAAACAUAAUCACUUAAACAAAAAAUGAAACAACAAAUU